GCUUACGGCCACACCGCCUGGUAUACGCUUGAUCUCGGAAGAUAAGGUAGGUUGGGCCUGGUUAUUACUUGGAUGGGAGACCGCCUGGGAAUACCAGGUGCUGUAAGCU
ensembl:rRNA 5S_rRNA 5S ribosomal RNA